GUUCUUGGGGGAAUACUGCCUAAGGUAUGCAAGAGGCCAUGCCCAAUUCAGACUUGGCCAGCAAAUUCGAUCAUGGGUUCAUACUAUCACAGAAACAGACCAGAGGCAGCGAAUUCUAUCACUAAAACACGUUCUCAUUUACUCUUCCCUUCCAAAGGUUGAGAGCAGGGAUUGAAGCAAACAGACGGAUAACAGGGAAAAAUAUGUCAUGAACCAUCAUGGAAAUGGGGCUGGUAGAGCGCUAUUGUAUCAUCCGGGCUCUUCUUUGGCAACUGAAGGACAGGUCGGCUCCCCAAUCUGCCUCAUUGCUGCCAAGGAGAAGCCAACCAGACAUGGGAUGCAGCCCUACCUCACCAUUGUGGUGCAGUUAAGGCAGUCCUCCUAGUACUUUGAGGGUCCUUGUCGUAUGUCCUAUCAUUGCAUGAGUCAUGAGAUGGAUGAGCUGUAUCGACUUGAUUGGUGGUGCCUACUUCAGCCUCAUUUCUUCAGACUGGGUCUAAGCUUAUUAAGCACAAAGUAAAGGGAAAUAGAAUUUUGGUCACAUUUUAUUAAACAGUGUUUAUUAAACAUCUUAUUAAACACUAGUUUUCAGAAUAAAGAAAAUGUCCCUCAUGCUCUCCUAAA